GCCUGUCCAGGGUUGGGCCCUGGGAUUUGACGGCGGACUUGAAAAGCCACCUAAAGACGCUCUAUGCCCAAUCAUUCCGUGUGAAAUCCGCCGAAGGAGGGGCUCGCGUCUUAUUAGCUAGUUGGUGAGGUAAUAGCUUACCAAGGCGAUGAUCAGUAGCUGGUCCGAGAGGAUGAUCAGCCACACUGGGACAGAGACACAGCCCAGACUCCUAUGGGAGGCAGCAGUGGGGAAUUUUCCGUAAUGGGCGAAAGCCUGACGGAGCAAUGCCGCGUGGAGGUGGAAGGCCUACGGGUCGUCAACUUCUUUUCUCGGAGAAGAAACAACGACGGUAUCUGAGGAAUAAGCAUCAGCUAACUCUGUGCCAGCAGCCGCGGUAAGACAGAGGAUGCAAGCGUUAUCUGGAAUGAUUGGGCGUAAAGCAUCUGUAGGUGGCUUUUCAAGUCCGCCAUCAAAUCCCAGGGCUCAACCCUGGACGGGCGGUGGAAACUACCAAGCUGGAGUAUGGUAGGGGCAGAGGGAAUUUCCGGUGGAGCGGUGAAAUGCAUUGAGAUGAGAAAGAACACCAAUGGAGAAAGCACUCUGCUGGGCCGACACUGACACUGAGAGACGAAAGCUAGGGGAGCAAAUGGGAGUAGAGACCCAAGUAGUCCUAACCAAAGGUGUAUUUUGAGUAUACCGAAUUAGUAUAGCUAUCCUUCCUAUGGCACAUCAAUCUGGUUUUGCCUGGUUCCGAAACAUAAUUACUUUUUUA
rnacentral:rRNA from 1 species